rnacentral:rRNA from 1 species
CUAGACGAGUUUGAUCCUGGCUCAGAUUGAACGCUGGCGGCAUGCUUUACACAUGCAAGUCGAACGGUAACGGGGACUUCGGUCUGCCGACGAGUGGCGAACGGGUGAGUAAUAUAUCGGAACGUGCCCAGUAAUGGGGGAUAGCUCGGCGAAAGCCGGAUUAAUACCGCAUACGCCCUGAGGGGGAAAGUGGGGGAUCUUCGGACCUCACGUUAUUGGAGCGGCCGAUAUCAGAUUAGCUAGUUGGUGGGGUAAAGGCCUACCAAGGCGACGAUCUGUAGCUGGUCUGAGAGGAUGAUCAGCCACACUGGGACUGAGACACGGCCCAGACUCCUACGGGAGGCAGCAGUGGGGAAUUUUGGACAAUGGGCGAAAGCCUGAUCCAGCCAUGCCGCGUGAGUGAAGAAGGCCUUCGGGUUGUAAAGUUCUUUCAGGUGGAAAGAAAGCGGAUGGGUUAAUACCCUGUCCGGAUGACGGUACCACCAGAAGAAGCACCGGCUAACUACGUG